UACAGAGGUCUCAAGCGUUGUUCGGAUUCAUUGGGCGUAAAGGGUGCGUAGGCGGCGCGGUAAGUCGGGUGUGAAAUCUCGGAGCUUAACUCCGAAACUGCAUUCGAUACUGCCGUGCUUGAGGACUGGAGAGGAGACUGGAAUUUACGGUGUAGCGGUGAAAUGCGUAGAUAUCGGGAGGAACACCGGUGGCGAAGGCGGCGACCUGGGUGGAUACUGACGCUGAGGCGCGAAAGCGUGGGGAGCAAACAGG
rnacentral:rRNA from 1 species